rnacentral:tRNA from 1 species
GCGAGUGUCGUACAGUGGUAGUACGUAACCUUCCCAAGGUUGAUGCACGGGUUCGAUUCCCGUCACUCGCU